UUGAGCACUAUAUUUGUUGACACCAUUAAUGCCGUGACCAAGAAAAUUACACCUAGCAAACAGGGGUGGUUGCAUGGACAUAUCUUGGACCAGAAUAAUUUGAAUCUCUUCUACUGGUUUCUGGCCAUUCUUAGUGUCCUCAACUUCUUUAACUCUCUAUUGGGCAACAUGGUACAAGUACAAACCAGAAGACAAUGUUGCUAUCAUGGACAAAUCAAUAUCAACAAGUGGUGUAUCACUCGUCAAGACAGCUGAGGAGGAUGAAUCCAAGGCCGCAAAUGGAGAAUCCACCUCUGAACACACUGAAGUAAAUGAUGGGAAAAUUUGACAAAUUGGUGACAUCCAAACUACAUGAAGAAGAAAUGAAAGCUCCAAACUGCUCAAAUAUGCAUAUAGAUCACUCAAGAUAAUUGGCUUGUCCUCUUUUUGUAUCUGGCAUUGUUGUGUUCUGAAUAUGAACUGCCAUGUAAAUGUUUUUGACAUAAUAUGGUUGGACUCACUUUUAGAUAUUUAGGUACAACUAUAAGUCUGUAAAAGAUGUGAGUUCUUAAGUAAAUUCAAUGGAUUUUUGAAAAUUCAAAAUGGUUUGUGUGGCAGCACUCAAUUUGAAUCAAAAUGUUUAGAAGGCCUUUGAGCAUUAUGAAGAAAAGUGACUCACUCCCUAUUGAAAGUAAAGCAAGUACUGAAGUGAGGGGAUUGUACAGCACAAACAAGCAUAGCAAACCGUUGGUUGGGAAAGAAGACCUCUGUUGAAAAGGAGCAAGGCUGUGAUUUACAAAAGGAUGGGGAUUAAAUAUAAAAAAAAAAAGCUGAAGGAAAAAUAUUUUCAGCCUAUUUUCCAUCUUUCGUAGAAGAAAAGGGCCCAAAGAACCUUGCUAAUUAAACAUUUA
rnacentral:lncRNA from 1 species